rnacentral:rRNA from 1 species
UACAGAGGUCCCAAGCGUUGUUCGGAAUCACUGGGCGUAAAGGGUGCGUAGGUGGCGGGGAAAGUUUGAUGUGAAAUCUCCGAGCUUAACUCGGAAACUGCAUUGAAAACUACUCUGCUCGAGGGUUGGAGGGGGGACUGGAAUUCUCGGUGUAGCGGUGAAAUGCGUAGAUAUCGAGAGGAACACCAGUGGCGUAGGCGAGUCCCUGGACAACUCCUGACACUGAGGCACGAAAGCUAGGGUAGCAAACAGG